CUUCCAGGGUCGUCCGUCCAUGGGAUUUUCCAGGCAAGAUUACUGGAGUAGGGUGCCAUUGCCUUCUCCAAGACCUGCCCUAAUAUAACCUAAAACUAAGCUUUGAAAUAAUCAAGCUGACCUGCAAAUAAUUUAAGUCCCAAACAAAAUGAAGUUCAAUACUCUUUAAAGAAAGACACAAAAUUCAAUCAACAACAUGCUAUUUACAAUGGGAGGGCAUAAUAGAAUCACAAAGCUGCAAAGCUUUUACUUUUUUACUUGAUGUGGUAUAAUGUUACUUGAUGAUAGACUGAAAUAUGUUAAAGAUGCAUAUUGUAAACUAUUGAGCAACCAUUAAAAAACAUCAAAGUAAAACAAAAACCUUGGCAUCAAAUUUAAGCAAAAACAAACCCCCAAACAAAAAAUAAAAGAAGUAUAGCUAUUGAGCUAAAUUUACAUAUUAUUUUGAAAACUAUAAGAUAUCACUUACAAGAGCCUUGCUAGGUAGAAGAUUCUUGGUUGUAGGCUUUCCUUUUCAUCACAUUUAAGUAUCUGGUCAUUCCCUUCUGGCCUGCAGAGUUUCUGCUGAAAAAUCAGCUGAUAACCUUGUGGGAGCUAACUUGAAUGUUAUUUGUGGCUUUUUCUUUGCUGCUUUUAAUUUCUCUCUUUAUCUUUAAUUGUUGUCAUUUCAAUUACAGUAUAUCUUGGUGUGUUCCUUUUUGGUUCACUCCGUGUGGGACUCUUUAUGCUUCCUGAACUUGGGUGACUGUUUCCUUUCUCAGAUUAGGGAAGUUUUCAGCUAUUGUGUUUUCAGAUACGUUUUCAGCCCGCUUGUUUUUUUCCAAUCUCUUGUGGAACUCCUAUAAUAGAAAUAGGACUGUGAUUGAUGUUAUCUCAGAAGUCUUUUAAACUGUCCUCAUUUAUCUUCAUUUCUUUUUAUUCAGCAGCAGUGAUUUCCACUCCUCUAUCUUCCAGCUUACUGAUCCUUUCCUCUGUAUCAUAUAGUGUACUGUUGAUUUCUUCUAAUGUUUUUCAUUUCAGGUAUUGUAUUCUGCUUUUCUAUUUGGUUGUUCUUUGCAUUUUCUAACUCUUUGUUUCAAAGCUUCUAACUAUUUACUCUGUGCAUCCAUCCUUCUCUCCUGAGUUCUUUCAUCAUCUUUACAACUGCUUUCUUGGGCAGAUUGCCUAUCUUCCCUUCACUUAGUUCUUCUGGGGUUUUAUCUUGUUCCUUCAUCUGAAGUACGUUCCUCUGCCUCCUCUUUUUGUCUAAAUUGCUAUGUGUAUUUUUACCUAUGUGGUAGGUUAGUUAUGUUACUCUGCCUUAUAGAAGUGGCCCUCUGUAGGAAAAGUCCUGUCCGUCCCUACAGUGCACUCCCCUCACCCAAGUUAUAUGCUCUCAGGAUUUCCCUUAAGAGGACUGUGUGGGUCCUUCUGUUGUGGCAGGAUGAGUAAGUGGGUGAUCUGAUAGGUUUGGUUGGCCCCCAGCCCAGUUGGUUCCCAGGCCUUGCCUUGUGCAGAUGCUGCUGGUGCUGAUUAGCAGGGCCUGGCUGUGAGGUGGCUGAUGCAGAACCCCAGGGAACUCUGAGCCUAGUGCUGGCCCACUGGGGGGCAUAGUCAGGGUCCCAGAAGACUCUAGGGCUUUUGCUCCCACAUUGGUGGGUGAAUCCAGGUUCUGGGGUUAGAACUGAACAACUGACAGGCCAGGCUGUGGAGUUGUGGUUUUCCUGGGUCUGGUGUCUGCUCCUGGUGGAUGGAGACUAGACUAGAUGCUAAUACAGGCUUCCUGGAGGGCAGGGCUGUUGUCUGACCACUUGUGGAUGGAAGUAGCUGGGUGUUUGUCUUGUGGUGAGCGGGGCCCUGUGGAGAGGCAGCUGUGAGCUCAGGAAGACCUUGUGCAACCUGUUUGCUGCUGGGUUAGGCUCUCUUCCUGCCUUGUUAAUUGUUUGGCCUGGGGUGUACCAGCACCAGGGUCUAUAGGCUAUUGAGCAGGACCAGGGCUUGGCGCUAAUAAGAGAGAGGGAGGGCCCGCCUGACGCUGCCAGCACGGGCUCUGGCUUCCACGCAUGCGUGUGAAUUGAGCUACCAAAUAUGGCUUCUCUGAGCGUCUGCGUUCCCAGUCGCCUGCCCCAUCCUCUACUGGAGAGUCUCCAAGACCAGCAGGAACAAGUAGAGCUGCAUGCAAUUCUCAGGACUGAGAUCAUGAGAAAGGGUACCUGCCUGGAUUCCUCUCAGUGGCUCUCUUCAAUGACUCUUUUCAGCGUCAAUGACCUUAGACUUGUAGAAACCUGCCAAGCCCCCUUUCCUACCCGGGCUUUAAAGACCUCUUCGAGAGGACACCCUAUGCCUCCGAUUUUAGACAUAACUCUCAUGAAGUAUACCAAAGGAAGGAUAUGAGAUAAAGUAUGGAUAAUUAAACAGCAAAAACAAGGAAAGGGAAGACAUUUAGAGAGUGACUUCAUCUGUUUGAAGAGAAUUUUCAAAAUAUAAUGAUGUCCACAUUUAAUGGUAGCACAAGACAUAUUAAAAUUUUAAAUAUCUUUUGGAUUAGUCACCAUUUUGAUUUAUCCACCCCAUGUUUCUGUCUUUUAAUGUGGAGAAUCGAGUGUUUUCUGGCUUGCAUGUUGUACCAUUAUUGUGACUUAAUAAUUGGGGCAUGGAAGGGGACCAGCAUAAUCAUAUGGAAGAGACAGUACUGCCACGUUGUAAACAUGGGUGUAUGCAGUACAUGGAAGGGAGAAAAAAGUGACUUAUACCAUGUAGGAAAAAUCAAAAGUGCCUGCAGAUGGAAUUAAUGGAAUAGAUUUAGGUUGCACCUGUAGACUAUGUUUGACAUUCCUCUCUAAAACAUCUCAUAUGGAAAGCCCAGUCUGUUCUGGUUAAUAUAGCUUUGACAUACUCAGUGAAUUCAAAUCUAGAUUGCAGAAUAUUUACACUGGUCAAAGUUAUUUCGAUAAUUUAGAAUGAAGUGAAUCUCGGGGAUGAAAAUGUAAAGGUGUAGCUUUUAAUAUUCAUAAAAACUGAAGAUUCAAAAGUGAGAAAACAUAGAUCCUAGUGUAGCUCUGGUUCGAUGUAGAAAAAUAAUUUCACCACUCGAGAUUUUGGUUUCUUCAUCUGUAUUAAAAAAGUUUACUCCAGAUGUUUUUUUGAUAUUUUUGCUGUGCUAUGUUUUAAUCACAGAACAUCAAGGGCCUCUUGGUAGAAAUCUUGAGAAUCACAUGAAAGCAGAAAGCUGGAGCUUAAUGGUAAUAUAGGAUUUUUUUUUGUAUCAAUGAUACUUAAACGAUGCACUCAGAUAUUAAGCCAGAAAUUUCAGAGCCAUCCUUUAUAUUCCUCUGAAUGGAAUGUAUUUCCUCCUUGAGUUCACUCCACCCCAGCUUCAGUUUUAUUAUCAGUGUUUAUUGAGGGCUUCACUUGGAGCAACGUGCUGUGCUUAGUCGGUCAGUCAUGUUUGACUCUUGUGACCCCAUGGACUGUAGCCUGCCAGGCUUCUCUGUCCAUGGGGAUUCUCCAGGUAAGAAUGCUGGAGUGGGU